UACGAAGGGGGCUAGCGUUGUUCGGAAUUACUGGGCGUAAAGCGCACGUAGGCGGAUCGAUCAGUCAGGGGUGAAAUCCCAGAGCUCAACUCUGGAACUGCCUUUGAUACUGUCGAUCUAGAGUAUGGAAGAGGUGAGUGGAAUUCCGAGUGUAGAGGUGAAAUUCGUAGAUAUUCGGAGGAACACCAGUGGCGAAGGCGGCUCACUGGUCCAUUACUGACGCUGAGGUGGCGAAAGCGUGGGAGCAAACAGG
rnacentral:rRNA from 1 species